AUAUACUAUGCAUGUAUCCCUCUGGAAGGUGAAGCUAUCUGCAAACUAGACAAACAACCUUGUGCUGUGUACUUAACUGAAAUGUUGAAGGUGGAUUAUUCAAACAGUUGACUCGUUUCCCAGCUGAGAUGGACACUUUCUGUAAGUAAGACAAGUGUUAUGAAUGACCGGUUAUUGUUAAGAAAAUUAAAGGUGCGGUAAUGGGUGAUGACUGAAAAUGUUGUUUAGGAAAGUGUUGGCAGCGUUGUUUUUAGAAUGCAAGUUUUUAAGAACUUUAUGAAGCAGUUGUGAUAAACUUAGGAUGAACCAGCGCCUCCCACCCAGACAAAGCCAGCAAUGUUUUCAGCCAUGGAAUCCGAAAACAGUCAAGUCAGAACAGGAAAGCAUAGAAGAGCUCAGAAAGGCAGCUAAGUCAACUAACCUCACUUUCCCUUUAAGUAAGCAGUUCAUUCUGAAAUAUUGACUGGUGCUUUGCAUUUGCGGUGCUGAAAUAAUAAGCUUACGCCCCACUGCGUGACACAAGUUUAUUUUAUUAGGAGAUUGACAGGUUGUUUUUGGAGAGAAGGCACCGAUAUACCAAACUCAGCUGUUGCACCCUAAUGUACACAAAAGAGAAUAUUGUGUUGGAGGGAUGGGUGUGGAAAGAUAUGCAGAGAAGUAUUUUUGGGAUUGAAAUAAUGACACGGUGCACAAGCACUGACUUCGCCUGCCUUUACUCUUUUGCUUUCUUUCUUGUUUCAAAUGCUCCCUUGCGACGCAGCAUGCCUGGUAUGCCUAAGAGCAUGACAGAGGCAUCUGUAACUGUGCAGAUUAUGAACUCUCAGUCUUUGUCCACUCUCGUGUGUUUAUAUCUGGGAGAAGCAGCAAUUCAUCUGGAUAUAAAACCCAAACAUACUUUUAUAGGCUGCAUGAUCCUCCAAGAAUGUUAGCGCUUAGCUAUUCGUAAUUUGCUUAAUACAGAGGGUGGAAGGGAUUGGCUGAAAGCCAGUAGGGAAACUAUAAUCAGCCACACGCUAGUUGCUUACGAUGUGAGCAUGCUUAGCACAAUCCAGCCAAAGUUAAGCGCUUUCAAGUCUGGAAGAGUUAAGCUGCAAUCCACUAACCCGGGAGUAAGCACUGUUAAACUCCAUUGACAGCUGAUAUGAUUGGAAAAUGCUAGAGACUGGUUGGGUCGUAUCCAUAGUGAUACUGUUUGUUGAUUCCUCUUCUGUUAAAUUUAAUAAAAGCUAAGAAUGCCCUUGUACCAAUGAUCAGGGUACAAAAGCAAUAUUAAUUGG